ACAAAGGUCCUUUUAAGGGCCAUCAAUAUUUUUCAAAAAGAUCUAU
rnacentral:ncRNA from 1 species